rnacentral:rRNA from 1 species
CAUCAGCUCACUAGUGUAAUCGUCAUUGCUGCGGUUAAAAAGCUCGUAGUUGGAUCUGAGUUACAUGCAAUCGAUUCGCCUUUGGCGUUAAUCGUUGUUGUAACUAUGCUGUGCUGGUUUUCUAUUAGAGUUUCGACUUUUCUAGUGACUAGCGAGUUUACUUUGAAUAAAUUAGAGUGCUCAAAACAAGCGUUUGCUUGAAUCGUUGAUCAUGGAAUAAUAGAAGAGGACUUCGGUUCUAUUUAUUGGUUCAGGAACUGGAAUAAUGGUUAAGAGGGACAAUUCGGGGGCAUUCGUAUCCCUGCGCGAGAGGUGAAAUUCGUGGACCGCAGGGGGACGCCCUAAAGCGAAAGCAUUUGCCAAGAAUGUCUUCAUUAAUCAAGAACGAAAGUCAGAGGUUCGAAGGCGAUUAGAUACCGCCCUAGUUCUGACCGUAAACUAUGCCAUCUAGCGAUCCGACGGGGUAUUGUUGCGUUGUCGAGGAGCUUCCCGGAAACGAAAGUCUUUCGGUUCCUGGGGUAGUAUGGUUGCAAAGCUGAAACUUAAAGAAAUUGACGGAAUGGCACCACCAGGAGUGGAGCCUGCGGCUUAAUUUGACUCAACACGGGAAAACUCACCCGGCCCGGACACCGUAAGGAUUGACAGAUUGAAAGCUCUUUCUCGAUUUGGUGGUUGGUGGUGCAUGGCCGUUCUUAGUUGGUGGAGCGAUUUGUCUGGUUUAUUCCGAUAACGAGCGAGACUCUAGCCUGCUAAAUAGUGGCUGGAUUGAUUUUCUUCUAGAAUAUGUCCAGUCUACUUCUUAGAGGGAUAAGCGGUGUUUAGCCGCACGAGAUUGAGCGAUAACAGGUCUGUGAUGCCCUUAGAUGUUCGGGGCUGCACGCGCGCUACAAUGGAAGAAACAGCUGGCUUGUCCAUUACCGAAAGGUGUUGGUAAACCGUUGAAUAUCUUCCGUGACCGGGAUAGGGAAUUGUAAUUAUUCCCCUUAAACGAGAAUCCUAGUAAGUGUGAGUCAUCAGCUCACGCUGAUUACGUCCCUGCCAUUUGUACACACCGCCCGUCGCUGUCCGGGACUGA